CACGUCAGCGCGACGUGGCAGCAAAUCGCGUCCUUGAGGGCGCGAUUUGUUGCCAUGUCAGCAACUCGCGUUGACGUGG
rfam:Gossypium hirsutum cultivar TM-1 unplaced genomic scaffold scaffold4704.1, whole genome shotgun sequence